rnacentral:misc_RNA from 1 species
GAUGAAGAACGUAGCGAAAUGCGAUACUUGGUGUGAAUUGCAGAAUCCCGUGAACCAUCGAGUCUUUGAACGCAAGUUGCGCCCGAAGCCACUAGGCCGAGGGCACGCCUGCCUGGGCGUCACACGCCGUUGCCCCCCCAUCUACUCCUUCGGGAUUGCGGGAGGGCGGAUGAUGGCCUCCCGUGCGCCUAGCCGCGCGGUUGGCAUAAAUACCAAGUCCUCGGCGACGCACGCCACGACAAUCGGUGGUUGCGAAACCUCGGUUGCCCGUCGUGUGCGUUCGUCGCGCAUCGAGGGCUCGAAAAAAUGCUCGGCUCCGGCUGGGCUUUCAACGCGACCCCAGGUCAGGCGGGGUUACCCGCUGAAUUUAAGCAUAUCAAUAAGCGGAGGA